rnacentral:rRNA from 1 species
GACGAACGCUGGCGGCGUGCUUAACACAUGCCAGUCGAACGGAAAGGCCCUGCUUUUGUGGGGUGCUCGAGUGGCGAACGGGUGAGUAACACGUGAGUAACCUGCCCUUGACUUUGGGAUAACUUCAGGAAACUGGGGCUAAUACCGGAUAGGAGCUCCUGCUGCUUGGUGGGGGUUGGAAAGUUUCGGCGGUUGGGGAUGGACUCGCGGCUUAUCAGCUUGUUGGUGGGGUAGUGGCUUACCAAGGCUUUGACGGGUAGCCGGCCUGAGAGGGUGACCGGCAACAGUGGGACUGAGAUACGGCCCAGACUCCUACGGGAGGCAGCAGUGGGGAAUAUUGCACAAUGGGCGGAAGCCUGAUGCAGCAACGCCGCGUGCGGGAUGACGGCCUUCGGGUUGUAAACCGCUUUCGCCUGUGACGAAGCGUGAGUGACGGUAAUGGGUAAAGAAGCACCGGCUAACUACGUG